GCCAAAUGGUAGUUGCUACUUUGUCGGAAUCCGGCAUUCAGAUGCCAGAUGAAACUCUGGAAGCUGUCGUCGAUAAGGCAAGAAUUUUGGAUGUUUAAAACUUCUGUUUCUUUACCUUUACUCUGAAGUUUCACACUAUCAAAGUUAUGUUUUCUUGCUCAGACGUUUGAGGAUGCCGACGCUGACAGGGAGGAGAAAAUUAGCAAAGACGAUUGGAAAGCUUAUGCUAUUCGGUACCCAGCACUCCUAAAGAACAUGACGCUUCCAUAUUUAAAGCACAUCACAACUGUUUUUCCAAGUUUUUUCUUCAACACUGGAGUUCAACACAUUGUAUUGCUACCGUAAGCCGGAUAAUCAGAAUCAGAAUCCGCCAGUGACCCGAAAUUCAUCUGUCUCUCUUGGUCUGAUUGAACUACCAAAAUUGAAUGUUCAUAAUUUAUGCCCAUUCAUUCGUUUUCCCGGUUAAAUGAUGUAACCGAAACCGAUGAGAACAAUUUUUCUGCCCAUUUUGAGACAA